rnacentral:rRNA from 1 species
UACAGAGGGUGCAAGCGUUAAUCGGAAUUACUGGGCGUAAAGCGUGCGUAGUCGGUUAUUUAAGUCGGGUGUGAAAGCCCCGGGCUCAACCUGGGAAUUGCAUUCGAUACUGGAUAGCUAGAGUUCGGCAGAGGGAAGCGGAAUUUCCGGUGUAGCGGUGAAAUGCGUAGAUAAUCGGAAGGAACAUCAGUGGCGAAAGGCGGACAUCCUGGACCAGAACUAGACUGAUCAG